rnacentral:rRNA from 1 species
GACGAACGCUGGCGGGGUGCUUAACACAUGCAAGUCGAACGGAAAGGCCCUGCUUUUGUGGGGUGCUCGAGUGGCGAACGGGUGAGUAACACGUGAGUAACCUGCCCUUGACUUUGGGAUAACUUCAGGAAACUGGGGCUAAUACCGGAUAGGAGCUCCUGCUGCAUGGUGGGGGUUGGAAAGUUUCGGCGGUUGGGGAUGGACUCGCGGCUUAUCAGCUUGUUGGUGGGGUAGUGGCUUACCAAGGCUUUGACGGGUAGCCGGCCUGAGAGGGUGACCGGCCACAUUGGGACUGAGAUACGGCCCAGACUCCUACGGGAGGCAGCAGUGGGGAAUAUUGCACAAUGGGCGGAAGCCUGAUGCAGCAACGCCGCGUGCGGGAUGACGGCCUUCGGGUUGUAAACCGCUUUCGCCUGUGACGAAGCGUGAGUGACGGUAAUGGGUAAAGAAGCACCGGCUAACUACGUG